GCUACAAAAUACAUACAAUUAUAACCAAUAAAAGACAUAACAAAAUUAAAAUAACUUGAAACACUAGACUUACCUGAAAUGCCUCACUUCCAAAAUACUCACAUAACCACCGCCAAUCGUCACUAGACCCAGCCCAAUUUCUGUAUGGCUGGGUCACAGGAUCAAUCUCCUUUGCCUGCAGCUCAUUGCAGUAUUUAUGAAGCCUACAUCGCCGAUCUCUGUAUCUAUUUGCAGCCAUUUUGAGAAUACAUGCCAUCACUUCUUCGUCGGUGCAAU
rnacentral:lncRNA from 1 species